GGAAUACUCCAUGUAAGCCUAAUCCUCUACACAUGGGCACGUCCUCCUUAGGAUUUAAUCCGACCGGAAGGAAAGGCUCAGUAAGCGUGAGAAUCAGAACUAAACCUAUCUUUAAAACUAGAAUAAAAACCCAUUCAAAUCCUGCUCGAAACUCUACUGAGAGAUCACACAACACCCACCGAAGUAGCUACGUGAAGAAGACACUGGUGGGGCUGGAGAGAUGACUCAGUGGUUAAGAGCACAAGCUAUUUUCCUAGAGGACCCAGGUUCAAUUCCCAGCAACCACAUAGCAGCUCACAACUGUCUGCAACUCCAGGGGUUGGGACACCCUCACACAGGUGACAAGCAGUCAAGUCACCAAUGUACAUUAAAUAAAAAUAAAUAUUAUUUAAGAAAAAAUAAAAAAGAUGUAGGGGAAAUGGAAAAUCAGGGAGGCAGAAAAUCCUUCGAAACACCAGAACCCAUUUGGUGGACCCUCAGAAAGUUAAACCAAGAGACAGUUAACUUUCAAAAACUGAUCGACUAAAUUUCCACUCACUGUUUUAGUACUUUAAAUUUUGUCUUAUUUUUGAAACACACUUACCACUACAUUUUUAAAGGAUUUAUUUCACAUUUAUGUAUUUGUCUGCGGCUCUGUGACUCUGUACACAUGGCCCCCAAUAGGCCAGAAGAAGGUUCCAGAUCCCCUUCGAGCUAAAGUGACAGGUGGCUGAGAACCACCUGACUAAUGUGGGUGCCUGCCACAAGGCCGUCU
rnacentral:lncRNA from 1 species